rnacentral:misc_RNA from 1 species
CUGAAGAAAUGGUAGAGCUGAGCUGGCUCCUUAGGAGUAUGUGCUCGCUCUAUCGCCUUUUCUACUCUCCACUGUGCACCUCUUGUGCACUGUUGAAUGGGCCUAAUAAAUAUAUAUAUAUUUUUGGGCCUAUUCUAUUUUAUUACAAACAUCUUAUGUAUGUAAGGAAAGUGUUAUCAAAAGAAAGAAAUAAUAAUAA